GUGGGGAAUAUUGGGCAAUGGGCGAAAGCCUGACCCAGCAACGCCGCGUGAGUGAAGAAGGGUUUCGGCUCGUAAAGCUCUGUUGUCGGGGACGAAUGUGCAGUAUUUGAAUAAAGUAGUGCAAUGACGGUACCUGACGAGGAAGCCACGGCUAACUACGUGCCAGCAGCCGCGGUAAUACGUAGGUGGCAAGCGUUGUCCGGAAUUAUUGGGCGUAAAGGGAGCGCAGGCGGGAAGGUAAGUCGGUCUUAAAAGUGCGGGGCUCAACCCCGUGAUGGGAUCGAAACUAUCUUUCUUGAGUGCAGGAGAGGAAAGUGGAAUUCCUAGUGUAGCGGUGAAAUGCGUAGAUAUUAGGAGGAACACCAGUGGCGAAGGCGACUUUCUGGACUGUAACUGACGCUGAGGCUCGAAAGCCAGGGGAGCGAACGGGAUUAGAUACCCCAGUAGUCC
rnacentral:rRNA from 1 species